UAUAAAGAUUAUGAGUAGGUCAACAUAGAAUUGAUCAGUCCUAGUAAGAGGAGAUCGCAUCAUGUGAAUUCUCAUCUCUAGAUGACUCGAGAAAAGACUUUUGGUCAAAAGUAGGAAGAAAAUUAGAAAGAGUUUCUAAUACUUCAUCAUCAAAGUCAUCAUUGAUUAGUUAAGAAUCGAUAUGAAUAUAUAUUUGAGAUUGACAUAAUUCCAUACU
rnacentral:lncRNA from 1 species